GUAGGUGGCAAGCGUUGUCCGGAAUUAUUGGGCGUAAAGCGCGCGCAGGCGGGUCCUUUAAGUCUGAUGUGAAAGCCCACGGGCUCAACCGUGGAGGGUCAUUGGAAACUGGGGGACUUGAGUACAGAAGAGGAAAGCGGAAUUCCAAGUGUAGCGGUGAAGUGCGUAGAGAUUUGGAGGAACACCAGUGGCGAAGGCGGCUUUCUGGUCUGUAACUGACGCUGAGGCGCGAAAGCGUGGGGAGCAAACAGGAUUAGAUACCCUGGUAGUCCACGCCGUAAACGAUGAGUGCUAAGUGUUAGGGGGUUUCCGCCCCUUAGUGCUGCAGCUAACGCAUUAAGCACUCCGCCUGGGGAGUACGGCCGCAAAGGCUG
rnacentral:rRNA from 1 species